rnacentral:rRNA from 1 species
UACAGAGGUCUCGAGCGUUAGGCGGAAUCACUGGGCUUAAAGCGUGUGUAGGCGGAUUGCUAAGUACCUUGUGAAAUCCCCGGGCUUAACCUGGGAACUGCGCUUGUAACUGGCAAGCUAGAGUGUGGCAGAGGGGGGUGGAAUUCCACGUGUAGCAGUGAAAUGCGUAGAGAUGUGGAGGAACACCUGCGGCGAAGGCGGGUAGCUGGGCCGACACUGACGCUGAGGCGCGAAAGCCAGGGGAGCGAACGGG